rnacentral:rRNA from 1 species
GUGAGGAAUAUUGGUCAAUGGGCGGGAGCCUGAACCAGCCAAGUCGCGUGAAGGAAGAAGGAUCUAUGGUUCGUAAACUUCUUUUGCAGGGGAAUAAAGUGCAGGACGUGUCCUGUUUUGUAUGUACCCUGAGAAUAAGGAUCGGCUAACUCCGUGCCAGCAGCCGCGGUAAUACGGAGGGGGCGAGCGUUGCUCGGAUUGACUGGGCGUAAAGCGCGCGUAGGCGGUCCAUUAAGUGUGCGGUGAAAUUCGGAGGCUCAACCUCCGUCCCGCCGCGCAAACUGAUGGUCUUGAGAUUGGGAGGGGGAUGCGGAAUUCCUGGUGUAGCGGUGAAAUGCAUUGAUAUCAGGAGGAACACCGGCGGCGAAAGCGGCAUCCUGGCUUAUAUCUGACGCUGAGGCGCGAAAGCGUGGGUAGCAAACGGGAUUAGAAACCCUGGUAGUCC